GAUGAACGCUGGCGGCGUGCCUAAUACAUGCAAGUCGAGCGAACGGACGAGAAGCUUGCUUCUCUGAUGUUAGCGGCGGACGGGUGAGUAACACGUGGAUAACCUACCUAUAAGACUGGGAUAACUUCGGGAAACCGGAGCUAAUACCGGAUGAUAUUUUGAACCGCUUGGUUCAAAAGUGAAAGACGGUCUUGCUGUCACUUAUAGAUGGAUCCGCGCUGCAUUAGCUAGUUGGUAAGGUAACGGCUUACCAAGGCAACGAUGCAUAGCCGACCUGAGAGGGUGAUCGGCCACACUGGAACUGAGACACGGUCCAGACUCCUACGGGAGGCAGCAGUAGGGAAUCUUGCGCAAUGGGCGAAAGCCUGACGGAGCAACGCCGCGUGAGUGAUGAAGGUCCUCGGAUCGUAAAACUCUGUUAUUAGGGAAGAACAUAUGUGUAAGUAACUGUGCACAUCUUGACGGUACCUAAUCAGAAAGCCACGGCUAACUACGUG
rnacentral:rRNA from 1 species